rnacentral:piRNA from 1 species
UCAGGGUGUGUCUAAGCUGUGAC